rnacentral:rRNA from 1 species
GUGGAUUAGAUACCCUGGUAGUCCACGCUGUAAACGAUGAAUACUAGAUAUUGGGGGAUUUGACCCCUUCAGUGUCGUAGCUAACGCGUUAAGUAUUCCGCCUGGGAAGUACGGUCGCAAGACUAAAACUCAAAGGAAUUGACGGGGGCCCGCACAAGCGGUGGAUUAUGUGGUUUAAUUCGAAGCAACGCGCAGAACCUUACCUAGGCUUGAAAUCCCACGAACCCGGCCCAAAAGCUGGGGUGCUCUUCGGAGAAUGUGGUGACAGGCGCUGCACGGUUGUCGCCAACU